AGCAUUAACUAGGGGUGUCCAACGAGCUGGGCUGAGAGAAAAACGCGUUGAAGUUUUUUAACCCUUCGGACCUGAUCUGGCUCAUACCAGCGUAGGGAAGUUAGAGACUCCUAAG
rnacentral:ncRNA from 2 species